rnacentral:rRNA from 1 species
GAUGAACGCUGGCGGUAUGCUUAACACAUGCAAGUCGAACGGAACCUUCGGGUUUAGUGGCGGACGGGUGAGUAACGCGUGAGAAUCUGCCUCUAGGUCGGGGACAACAACUGGAAACGGUUGCUAAUACCCGAUGUGCAGCAAUGUGAAAGAUUUAUUGCCUAGAGAUGAGCUCGCGUCUGAUUAGCUAGUAGGUGUGGUAAUGGCGCACCUAGGCGACGAUCAGUAACUGGUCUGAGAGGAUGACCAGUCACACUGGGACUGAGACACGGCCCAGACUCCUACGGGAGGCAGCAGUGGGGAAUUUUCCGCAAUGGGCGAAAGCCUGACGGAGCAAUACCGCGUGAGGGACGAAGGCUUUUGGGUCGUAAACCUCUUUUCCCUGAGAAGAAGAUCUGACGGUAUCAGGGGAAUCAGCAUCGGCUAACUUCGUGCCAGCAGCCGCGGUAAUACGAGGGAUGCAAGCGUUAUCCGGAAUUAUUGGGCGUAAAGCGUCCGCAGGUGGCUCUGUAAGUCUGUCGUUAAAGAAUGGGGCUCAACCCCAUACAGGCGAUGGAAACUACAAGGCUAGAGUUUGGUAGGGGUCACGGGAAUUCCUAGUGUAGCGGUGAAAUGCGUAGAUAUUAGGAAGAACACCGGCGGCGAAAGCGCGUGACUGGGCCAGUACUGACACUCAUGGACGAAAGCUAGGGGAGCGGAAGGGAUUAGAUACCCCUGUAGUCCUAGCCGUAAACGAUGAUAACUAGGUGUUGCCCG